UGGGGAAUAUUUUGCAAUGAGCGCAAGCUUGACAAAGCGUCGUCACGUGAAGGAAGACAGUUUUUUAAAAUUGUAAACUUCUUUAACUUAAAUAUGAAUAUUGACACUUAAGAAUAAAAAGUAUCGGCAAACUCCGUGCCAGCAGCCGCGGUAAUACGGGGGAUACAAGCGUUAUUCGGAAUAACUGGGCGUAAAGUGUAUGUAGAUUGUUAUAUAUAUAUUUGUAUGUUUAUACAAAAACUAUUAAAAUAUAAAUAUAUUAUAUAACUAGAGUUUAUUAUGGGUAAAAGGAAUUUUUUGAGGAGUGGUGAAAUGCGAUGAUACAAAAAAGAAGACCAAAAGCGAAGGCAUUUUACUGGGAUAUAACUGACAUUGAGAUACGAAAGUUAAGGUAGCGAAUG
rnacentral:rRNA from 1 species